UUAAAAUAUAAAGAUUUGCCUGAGUAGUAGUAGUUAUGUUCUUGAAACUUAAAAAAUUUGGCGGUAUUUUAGUCUAUUCAGAGGAACCUGUGACGUAAUUGAUAAUCCACGUUGAACCUAACUUGAUUUGGUAAUUUCAGUUUGUAUACCGCCGUUGUUUGAAAAUUUUUAUAGAAUAAUAAUUUUCUAUUUUUUGAAUUAAAUUUAAAAUCAGGUCAAGGUGCAGCUUAUAUUCAAGUGUUUCAUGGGUUACAAUAAAAUUAUUUAUACAGUUUAAAUUAUGAAAUUAAUUUAUUAAGGUGGAUUUGAUAGUAAAUUUUUAAAGAUAAAAGAAUUGAUU
rnacentral:rRNA from 1 species